GAGUUUGAUCGUGGCUCAGAACGAACGCUGGCGGCAUGCCUAACACAUGCAAGUCGAACGAGACCUUCGGGUCUAGUGGCGCACGGGUGCGUAACGCGUGGGAAUCUGCCCUUGGGUUCGGAAUAACAGUUAGAAAUGACUGCUAAUACCGGAUGAUGUCUUCGGACCAAAGAUUUAUCGCCCAGGGAUGAGCCCGCGUAGGAUUAGCUUGUUGGUGAGGUAAAGGCUCACCAAGGCGACGAUCCUUAGCUGGUCUGAGAGGAUGAUCAGCCACACUGGGACUGAGACACGGCCCAGACUCCUACGGGAGGCAGCAGUGGGAAUUUUGGACAAUGGGGAAACCCUGAUCCAGCCAUUCCGCGUGAGUGAAGAAGGCCUCGGUUGU
rnacentral:rRNA from 1 species